rnacentral:rRNA from 1 species
GACAGAGGUGGCGAGCGUUGUUCGGAAUUACUGGGCUUAAAGGGCGCGUAGGCGGUGAUGCAAGUCUGGGGUGGAAUGCUGCAGCUUAACUGUGGAACUGCCCUGGAAACUGCAUUGCUUGAGUCGGACAGGGGAAGGCGGAAUUCCAGGUGUAGCGGUGAAAUGCGUAGAUAUCUGGAGGAAGGCCUGUGGUGAAGACGGCCUUCUGGGUCUUGACUGACGCUGAGGCGCGAAAGCGUGGGGAG